AGUUAGGCAGACGAGGCGAUCGGUACAGUGAUAGCGGCGCUUAUUUUGAUUUGGUUCUAGCAUAUAAUGGCCCGUCCAGUAGUAGAACCAACGACAUACUAUGGCGAUGCCCUGCAGAAACGACUUCCAUGGCGGCAACAAACAAAGAAACCUUCGCAAAAUGUAGAAGUCAGCAUUAGUUAGCUCAGAUUAAAGAAGAGAGAAAACAAGAGACAUGUCUACUGGAGGCGUCAACGAUCGUGAGAGUGCGAGUCGAAUCUAGCCCAGGAGGGAACCGCAACCGAGUUGACACGAGCAGGCAGACAGCCUUCGCGCUAACCGCCAAAAGGUUCACGCUGGCAUACAAGAAAUCACGUGCAGUGCUUGCGACAAGGUAUAAAAGUGGCCGUGAUUUCAGGAGCGGGGGCCAUACUCUGCCACCACGUGCCAGCGAUUCUCCUAGUCAACAUGAAGGUACUGAUCGUUGCGUGCACCAUUGUCCAAUUCGUUAGCUUGGUUCUCGCUGGAGGCUAUCAUGACUACGGCUACGACGACCACGGCUACUACAGUGGUCAUGACCACUACAGUUAUUAUAAGGAGAUACCCGGACCUUCUUUCCUUAUCAAAACCGUUCAUCACGUGAGCAAGCUACACCAUGGAGAACAUUUGCACGGAAAUGCCUGGUGAUAUUUCGUACCUGCGGGAAAGGUAUGACCAGGUUGCGCAUUCACAUCAUCCCUCGCCUCAACGGAAACCAAAGAAACCGAGAAAGUGAGCUCGAAGUUGGGAAAGGACGCAUGGAAGCUUUCAUCUCUUGGGUGACCUUGCAAGCGAGGCGCAUUCAUACAGCUCAACCUGUGGACUGUCGAUGCUAUAUCACGAAAUUGAAGGACAGUGCACGUAAACGUCGU